rnacentral:rRNA from 1 species
UAAAGUGGCGUACGGGUGAGUAACACGUGGAUCAUCUACCUCUUUGUUGGGAAUAACCAAAGGGAAACCGUGGCUAAUACCGCAUAAGCUCGAGAGAGGAAAGUCGAAAGACGCAGAGAGAGGAGUCCGCGGCUGAUUAGCUAGUUGGUAGGGUAAAAGCCUACCAAGGCGAAGAUCGGUAGCCGGCCUGAGAGGGCACACGGCCACGCUGGCACUGAAACACGGGCCAG